rnacentral:rRNA from 1 species
UGGGGAAUAUUGCACAAUGGGCGCAAGCCUGAUGCAGCCAUGCCGCGUGUAUGAAGAAGGCCUUCGGGUUGUAAAGUACUUUCAGCGGGGAGGAAGGUGUUGUGGUUAAUAACCUCAGCAAUUGACGUUACCCGCAGAAGAAGCACCGGCUAACUCCGUGCCAGCAGCCGCGGUAAUACGGAGGGUGCAAGCGUUAAUCGGAAUUACUGGGCGUAAAGCGCAUGCAGGCGGUCUGUCAAGUCGGAUGUGAAAUCCCCGGGCUCAACCUGGGAACUGCAUCCGAAACUGGCAGGCUUGAGUCUUGUAGAGGGGGGUAGAAUUCCAGGUGUAGCGGUGAAAUGCGUAGAGAUCUGGAGGAAUACCGGUGGCGAAGGCGGCCCCCUGGACAAAGACUGACGCUCAGGUGCGAAAGCGUGGGGAGCAAACA